rnacentral:rRNA from 1 species
CCUACGGGUCGCACCAGUGGGGAAUAUUGCACAAUGGGCACAAGCCUGAUGCAGCCAAGCCGCGUGUAUGAAGAAGGCCUUCGGGUUGUAAAGUACUUUCAGCGGGGAGGAAGGUGUUGUGGUUAAUAACCACAGCAAUUGACGUUACCCGCAGAAGAGGCACCGGCUAACUCCGUGCCAGCAGCCGCGGUAAUACGGAGGGUGCAAGCGUUAAUCGGAAUUACUGGGCGUAAAGCGCACGCAGGCGGUCUGUCAAGUCGGAUGUGAAAUCCCCGGGCUCAACCUGGGAACUGCAUUCGAAACUGGCAGGCUAGAGUCUUGUAGAGGGGGGUAGAAUUCCAGGUGUAGCGGUGAAAUGCGUAGAGAUCUGGAGGAAUACCGGUGGCGAAGGCGGCCCCUGGACAAAGACUGACGCUCAGGUGCGAAAGCGUGGGGAGCAAACAGGAUUAG